rnacentral:lncRNA from 1 species
AAAAAAAAAAAUGUCUUGUAGGGCACUUGGAAUUAUUAGCUAUUUAUAAGUCAUCUUUAUAUUCCUACUUUAAAGGUCACAAAUUGUUUUUCUUUAAAUAAAUACAUUUCUAGGGUAGGUUGUAAAUUUCUAGUGCUAUUUUAAAAAUAAAAACCUAAAAAGAAUUCUUAGGUAAAGUGAUAGAGAAUUCUAAGAUGGUCCAUCAGAGUUACUGAAGUUUCUCUUUAAACAUUGUUUUUCUAGAACAUUCGAAAUAACUUGUGUAGAUAUUUUGAGUUCUCAAUAACUUAUUUUUUAGCAUUCAAAUUAUGCAUAGAUUUAAAUGCCUUUUGUACUAGAAAUAAUUUUUCUUUUUUUAUUAAUUUAUCUUAAUUUGGUAUAUAUGACAACAGAAUGCAUUUUGAUUCAUUGUACACAAUUGCAGCACAACUUUUCAUUUCUCUGGUUGUACAUGAUGUAGCAUCACACCAUAUGUGCAGUCAAAAUGUACCUAGGGUAAUGACGACCAUCUCAUUGUACCCUCUUUCCUGCCCUCCCUCCCCUUUGCCCAAUCAAAGUUCCUCCAUUUUCCCCAUGCCUCCCCCCUCCCCAUUAUGGAUCACCAUCCACUUAUCAUAGAGACCAUUCUGUCUUUGUUUUGGGGGGAUUGGCUUACUUUGCUUAGCAUGAUAUUCUCCAACUCUACCCAUUUACCUGAAAAUACCAUAAUUUUAUUCUCUGUCAAAAACAUUUUUUACCUUAGUUUUGUAUAUUACACUGCCUGAGUUACACUAUGGUAUGGUAUAUAAGAUCUUUGGUUUUUCAUUAAAACUUCAUACAUUUGGGGGAGCAAUUUGAAGAGUUUAAUGACCACACUCUGAGUAUGAUUGUGAAAUGACUGAAUUCCAUCCAGAUUCCAUCCAGAUUUCUUUCUCAGACUUUCCGGGGAGCUUUUCUUCAUUUUUUUCUCCCUGUUUUCCCCACCUCAAGUUAUGUACAUUGUUUGAAAAAAAGACUUUUGGCAUCUGGAAUAUUUCUCUUGUCCUUUCAAGGUAGUCAUCUGGUAGUAAGCAAGCCUAUCCUCAGUGUCAAAACAGCACUGCCAAUGUAUACAUGGGUUUCCAUAUAUCUGAGCCAACCUGAACAGCUACCAGAAUGGAUCUAGAUGAUUACGAUUUUAUAGUUUAUCCUGAUAUAAUCAGUAAUUGUCACCAAGUAGUGAGAUGGGAGGGUAGGGGUAGGAAUCGGCAGGGUAUCUCUAGCCACAAUUUUAAAGUUUAU